rnacentral:rRNA from 1 species
GUGCAGCAGUCGCGAAAACUUUACGAUGUGCGAAAGCACGAUAAGGGAACUCUGAGUGCCUCCUAAGGAGGCUGUUCUGAUGUCUAAAAAGCAACAGAAGUAAGGGCUGGGUAAGACCGGUGCCAGCCGCCGCGGUAACACCGGCAGCCCAAGUGGUAGCCACGUUUAUUGGGUCUAAAGCGUUCGUAGCCGGCCAGGUAAGUUCCUUGGUAAAAUUUAGCCGCUUAACGGUUAAGCUUUCAGGGAAUACUGCUUGGCUUGGGACUGGGAGAGGUCAGAGGUACUCCGGGGGUAGGGUGAAAUCUAUUAAUCCCUGGGGGACCACCGGUAGCGAAGGCGUCUGACCAGACCAGGUCCGACGGUGAGGGAC